rnacentral:lncRNA from 1 species
GGGGAGGAGAGCCCCGCUUCUCCGGAGAGAUGCCUCCGAUGGAGCCGAUGGCGUCGCCCCUGCACCGCUGACCCCCACGCGCGCCGAGGCUUUCCCCCCCAGCGGCCAGUGCGUCCGGCAGCCAGCGCCCUGACCAGGACCAAGACCCGCCGGAGCCCCAUGUUGCCCAGGAACCUGUUCACCGGCGACUCCGACCUCCCGGGGGUGGAGUCGUACGCGGUGCCCCUCAUUGGCUACAGGCCGCUGUCACCGGACGCCCCCGGCAGCCAAUCGGGACAGAGCGCGGCGGAAGAGGGGAGCGCACAGGCGGACUCACCCAUGAAGACCACCUGGUACUGCCCCCUGGACCUGGUACGUCCCACACGCUCACUCUUCACUAC